rnacentral:rRNA from 1 species
UACGUAGGUGGCAAGCGUUGUCCGGAUUUACUGGGCGUAAAGGGCGUGCAGGCGGUCUGUUAAGUGCAGGGUGAAAGCUCCCGGCUCAACUGGGAGAGGUCCUUGCAUACUGGCGGAGCUUGAGGGGGGUAGAGGAAAGUGGAAUUCCCGGUGUAGUGGUGAUAUGCGUAGAUAUUGGGAAGAACACCAGUGGCGAAGGCGGCUAUCUGGACCGGUACUGACGCUGAGGCGCGAAAGCGUGGGGAGCGAACAGG